AGUAAAUUGCCUGAUAAAAGGACUACCUUGAUAGGGUAAAUUAUGAAACCAAGUUUCAUUUACUA
rnacentral:tRNA from 1 species